rnacentral:lncRNA from 1 species
GCAAAGCAAUCUCCUCCUGCAUAAACGGCGAUCUUAGGAUUGGAGCUACGGGAUAGGGACAUUUCUCUCUCCUGUUGCCAGAAGGACCCGUCUAUAGAGCCCACACUAGAAAAGGCCAUUUGCAAAGAGAAAAAGGAACAGGUACUAGAACAGGGCCACAGUCUGCACAGAAGAACCUGCCUGAUGGGAAACAUGGGGACUGGAUGAGGAUGCAGCAGGCCAACUGAGGAUUCCUUCCCAGAAUGGUAUCCCCCAAGAGCCGUUGUUUCCUGCUGAUGCUGACCUCGGAAAAUUCAGACAAUAGAGAUAAGCAGAAAGGGGGAAAAAGGCACUGGUAGUCCUCCCACUCGAAGACUUAGCUCCAAGAGCGCCCGACAGCUCCUGCUUCCCAGCAGUCACAGCCUUGUGUUGCACCCUCCCACAUGCGGUCAGGGAUGGCUGAUGGUAUAUGAUGAACGUGACCAAAGGUAACUUCUGAGGCUAGAUCAUGAAUGACACUGCAGCUUCCACCUAUAACCAGGGUUUUCAACAGCCAUGC